rnacentral:lncRNA from 1 species
AAUUCAUGGUAGUGCCCCAAGGCACUCUGGCACCCAGUUUUGGAACUGCAGUUUUAAAAGUCAUAAAUUGAAUGAAAAUGAUAGCAAAGGUGGAGGUUUUUAAAGAGCUAUUUAUAGGUCCCUGGACAGCAUCUUUUUUCAAUUAGGCAGCAACCUUUUUGCCCUAUGCCGUAACCUGUGUCUGCAACUUCCUCUAAUUGGGAAAUAGUUAAGCAGAUUCAUAGAGCUGAAUGAUAAAAUUGUACUACGAGAUGCACUGGGACUCAACGUGACCUUAUCAAGUGAGGACCCACUAACAGGGGCUGCAUUUACACCAAAACCAUGAAGGUGGCCCAAGUCAUCACUGAGAAGUAGUACAAGCACCGAGGGAAUGACUUCAACAGGAACAAGAAAGCGUGGAAGGAGAUCCUAGCAGGAAGCUCCACAAGAAGAUAGCAUGUUACGUCUUGCAUUGGAUGAAGCAGGUUCAGAGAGACCUAGUGACAGCUAUCUCCGUCAAGGUGCAGAAGGAGAGAUCAUUGAAGUAGAUUUUCAUGCAAAAAAAAAAAUGUUGAAGUCUUUGGACUUCGGGAGUCUGUCCAAACUGCAGGUCACUCAGCCUACAGUUGGGAUGAAUUUCAAAACACCAGUUGGAGCCGGUUGAAUCUUUCUGCUAUGCUGUAAUAUUUUCAGUAAACCCAGAACAACAACAACAACAAAACACAAUGGAGGAGAAGCAGCCAAGUCUCUUGGUUUACAGAGUAGCUCCUAAUACCCCUUGCUGUCUGUCUCAGUGCCCAAUGGGAAGAUAGUCAAAACAAUAUUCACACCUGUGAUUCAUCUCUCUACAUGCAGUGUGUGUGAAUCUUUAUAUACUGCAUAUUAAGGAUCUGUCUUUACAGAUAAAAACUAAAGCAUUGAAGGAACUCCUUGUUUUGACUUAUCAAAGUCCUUAAGAAAAUACUAGAAAAUUAUAGCCAUUGUUUCAAAUUUUAGCUUUAUAUUAUCACUUGAAAUGUGAUGAAAUGUGGCUGAUAGAUAAUAAUUCACUGAUAACCUACAGACAAUUCCCAUCUUAAAAUGGACCAUUGGAUUGAAGAAUUAAAUAAAAUUGAGGGUUUUCCUUACAUGUUUUGUCUAAAGAGCGAAGUAGAAACAACUGUUCAUAGAUCUUCAUUGAGGAUUCGCAUGUGAACAGGCUUGGUGCAUUUGACACUUCAUGAUAUCAGCCAAAGUGGAACUAAAAACAGCUCCUGGAAGAGGACUAUGACAUCAUCAGGUUGGGAGUCUCCAGGGACAGCGGACCCUUUGGAAAAGGACUAGAAAGUGUGAAAUCUAUUAGUCUUCGAUAUGAAAUUCUCUGUCUCUGUAAAAGCAUUUCAUAUUUACAAGACACAGGCCUACUCCUAGGGCAGCAAAAAGUGGCAACAGGCAAGCAGAGGGAAAAGAGAUCAUGAGGCAUUUCAGAGUGCACUGUCUUUUCAUAUAUUUCUCAAUGCCGUAUGUUUGGUUUUAUUUUGGCCAAGCAUAACAAUCUGCUCAAGAAAAAAAAAUCUGGAGAAAACAAAGGUGCCUUUGCCAAUGUUAUGUUUCUUUUUGACAAGCCCUGAGAUUUCUGAGGGGAAUUCACAUAAAUGGGAUCAGGUCAUUCAUUUACGUUGUGUGCAAAUAUGAUUUAAAGAUACAACCUUUGCAGAGAGCAUGCUUUCCUAAGGGUAGGCACGUGGAGGACUAAGGGUAAAGCAUUCUUCAAGAUCAGUUAAUCAAGAAAGGUGCUCUUUGCAUUCUGAAAUGCCCUUGUUGCAAAUAUUGGUUAUAUUGAUUAAAUUUACACUUAAUGGAAACAACCUUUAACUUACAGAUGAACAAACCCACAAAAGCAAAAAAUCAAAAGCCCUACCUAUGAUUUCAUAUUUUCUGUGUAACUGGAUUAAAGGAUUCCUGCUUGCUUUUGGGCAUAAAUGAUAAUGGAAUAUUUCCAGGUAUUGUUUAAAAUGAGGGCCCAUCUACAAAUUCUUAGCAAUACUUUGGAUAAUUCUAAAAUUCAGCUGGACAUUGUCUAAUUGUUUUUUAUAUACAUCUUUGCUAGAAUUUCAAAUUUUAAGUAUGUGAAUUUAGUUAAUUAGCUGUGCUGAUCAAUUCAAAAACAUUACUUUCCUAAAUUUUAGACUAUGAAGGUCAUAAAUUCAACAAAUAUAUCUACACAUACAAUUAUAGAUUGUUUUUCAUUAUAAUGUCUUCAUCUUAACAGAAUUGUCUUUGUGAUUGUUUUUAGAAAACUGAGAGUUUUAAUUCAUAAUUACUUGAUCAAAAAAUUGUGGGAACAAUCCAGCAUUAAUUGUAUGUGAUUGUUUUUAUGUACAUAAGGAGUCUUAAGCUUGGUGCCUUGAAGUCUUUUGUACUUAGUCCCAUGUUUAAAAUUACUACUUUAUAUCUAAAGCAUUUAUGUUUUUCAAUUCAAUUUACAUGAUGCUAAUUAUGGCAAUUAUAACAAAUAUUAAAGAUUUCGAAAUAGAAUAUGUGAAUUGUUCACAUACAUAGAAAUGAAAAGUUCAUUUCGUAAAGCAAGAUGCUGGGUGAAAGAGUGCUUUUGAUUGAAAGAUCACUAGAUUAGUAGAGGGCAAGACUUCUAGUCCCUAAUCUACCCUUAAUAGCCAUGUGGUCACGUGUAAGUCAGUGAACCCAUCUCAUUCUCCUCAUACUUUUUUCAUCUCUAAAAUGAGGGUAUAAUUUAAGCUCUUCAUUUUUUUUUUUUUUUGAGAUAGAGUUUUGCUCUUGUCACCCAGGUUGGAGUGCAAUGGCACGAUCUCAGCUCACUGCAACCCUCUGCUUCCUCGGUUCAAGUGAUUCUCCUGCUUCAGCCUCCCAAGUAGCCGGGAUUACAGGUGCCCGCCACCACAUCUGGCUAAUUUUUUGUAUUUUCACCAUGUUGGCCAGGCUGGUCUCGAACCCCUACCUCAGGUGAUCCCUCGCCUCGGCCUCUCAAAGUGCUGGGAUUACAGGUGUGAGCCACCACGCCCAGCCCAAUAUCAGUUUUUCUUUUUUAACACAAGGCUAACACAAUCAAAAUACUAGCUAGGGGAGAAAAAAAAAAUAAGGCACUGUUUAUGUGUAACAGGCUCUUGUUGCAAUCACUGGGCAGACAAUAAACAGUAAGAAUCAAUCCUUUUCAUAUAUCCUUCUUGCAGAAUACAUAAAAUCCCACAAAUGGCUAUCUUCCUUUUUAUGAUAUUUGGAGAAUUGUAGCUAAGUGACAGAUAUUUUGCUUGGGUGUAUAGACCACAAAGGACUGUGUUUGAUGAUGGUUUGCAUAAAAUUAUACCUUAGUUUUUACUUUGUAUGUUACAUGUUAGAUUUAGAGUAUGAAAAUUAGUAGGGAGGAUUAUUAACAAAGAACAGGGCAAGAGGAGUAGAAUUAAACCUCUUCUAAUACCUGUGCACAAGUAGGCUUUUCAGAAACUCUACAACCCUACAUAAACUGGAUAGUUAGAAAAGCACACUCCCAAGGAAGGCGGUUAUGUUUUGCAGUUUGAAUCAGAAGAAUAGAGCUAUAGCAAUCUUCAUUCUAUAGUAACAUUAAAGAGCCUGGUUUAUAUUAUAGCAGUCAUUAAGAUUUAAAAAUUUACAUCUUGCCGUUCUUCUUACUCACAGAUUUUCGAGAGGUAAUGUAAUGAUCCACGAGGUGAGAAUCACUGCCUUUUAUAAUGCGAUUAAAUUGCAUGAACAAAGUUUCCAACAAAUAACAGUAAUAAAAAGAAACAUGUAUUAGCACUUAAUAAGCCAGGUGCUGUACGACGUGUGUUACAUGCUUUCAAUCCAUGAACUGGUAAACUGGUACUAGUAUCUCUAUUGGACAUGUGAGGAAACCAAAUGGAGUUGAUAAACAGUAGAGUUAAAAAUUACUCUUCAUAUAUUAUAUUGCCUCAAUCUCACAGACAUCUCUGCUACCAAAAGCUAUCAUAUCUAGAUAUGCGGCAUAAGGAUGACCUUGGGGCACACUAGAAUUCUUUGAGAGAAUUCUGGCAGAGAAAACAAAUAUUUAUUCCUACAAUAAAACCCAGCAUUUUACAGGUUUUAUUUUUAACUAUGAAGUAUUGUUAUCUGUAUCUUUCAUAUAAGUGUGCCCGGAAUUUAUUUCUUCUGGUGGGUUCUUGGUCUCGCUGACUCCAAGAAUGAAACCGCAGACCCUUGAGGUGAGUGUCACAGUUCUUAAAGAUGGUGUGUUCAGAGUUUGUUCCUUCAGAUGUUCAGAUGUGUCCGGAGUUUCUCCCUUAUGGUGAGUUCGUGGUCUCGCUGACUUCAACAAUGAAGCCGCAGACCUUUGCAGUGAGUGUGUGACAGUUCUUAAAGGCAGUGCGUCCAGAGUUGUUUGUUCCUCCCGGUAGGUUCGUGGUCUCGCUGAUGUCAGGAAUGAAGCUGCAGACCCUCGCGGUAAGUGUUACAGCUCAUAAAGGUAGUGCAAACCCAAACAGUGAGCAGUAGCAAGAUUUAUUAUGAAGAGCAAAAGAACAAAGCUUCCCCACCAUAGAAACGGACCAGAAUUGGUUGCUGCUGCUGUGGUAGCCAGCUUUUAUUCCCUUAUUUGGCCACACCCACAUCCUGCUGAUUGGCCCAUUUUACAGAAUGCUGAUUGGUCCAUUUUAUAGCGUGCUGAUUGGUGCGUUUUUACAGAGUGCUGAUUGGUGCAUUUACAAUCCUUUAGCUAGACACAGAGUGCUGAUUGGUGCCUUUAUAAUCCUUUAGCUAGACACAAAAGUUCUACAAGUCCCCACCCAACCCAGAAGCUCCGCUGGCUUCACCUCUCGUAAGGAAAUUGAGGUUCAAACAAGUUUCAAAGUGCUAAAACUACAGUUUCUCAUUCUCUGCAACUGGAUUUCCACUCAUGUGUUUGAAUCCCAGGCUCUAAGACUUAACUUGCCAUUCUGUGACUUUAUGUUCCUGCAAUUUACACAAAGCUACUAUCUGUCACAUCUCUGGUGUUAACUUCAGACUAAACUUCUUUUUGAUUCACAAUGACCACACACUUUUUGGUUGAGGUUUUGCUAUCGGUUUAUUGUACUGGUUAAUAGAGAGCUUCUUCCAGAAAUUUGAGUAGAUGGAAGAGGAAGUAGCACAUUCCUAAAAAUGUACCAUGCCUUUCAAGUCACAAGCAUCCCUAUCACAUGGCUGUCAAGGGUGGCUCAGAAUAGGUAGAGUUAAGAAUUUAAAGUAAAUUGGUGUAAGCGAUGAAAGCUUCAUCUAAAAGCUUAUAUUACAUCAACUGAAAUGUAAAAUAAUUGGAACAUUUUCCAGGCAUCCCUGUUAUUUAUUUGUCUCUCUUUCCUUGCUUGCCUACUUCAAAAGUCAUAUGGCAUGGUGACUAGAACUGUCCUGCCAAAGAGUUUGUCAAUAUAAGAUUCCUUUCUUUGUAAACAUUCUACCUUGGGGCUUCAUUUAUAAUCAAAAGGAGUACUGUAACCUGUCAAAAAAAAGCUACCUGUGACAAUAUAUUAUGUGAUGGUUACCUGCAGUAAGGUGGUGGCAAUAAAUAAAUAAAUAAUCACAGAAUGAAACCGAGCAGAACUGUCAGAGAAAUGGUCAGAAUUCACACUCUGAAGAACACGGCUAUACAGUAAUAAUCAUAAUAAAUAGCCACUCAAUCCAAAACAUCACUGGGCGACUUGUCACAUAUAUAAUCAGUGGAGAUGUGAUUGAAGCACAAGGCUUAAGUGAAUGUCUAGAGAGCUAAUUGAUUCAUUUUUAUGGAAAUUUUACUUAUUUUAAAUGUCAUCCCUGACCAUCUUGAACUUUUACUUGAAGAUUUAUUUUUUUUUUUAAAUCACUGUUUAUUAGAUUUAGGUAUUCUGGUCUUUGUUUUUCUUUUUUAUCUAUGUAUGAUUUUUAUUUUUUUAUGCAGUGUCCUUAAGCUUCAUCAAUGAGAAGAAAUGUAUUAAAAUCCAUUUAUUCUUACCCUAAUUCUUAUAAAAUAAGAUUAAUUUUUAUAAGAUGAAGUCACUCUUAUGACUCAUUCUCUAUUAUUUUUAAAACAAACAAUAUUUUUCCUCAAAAUGUAAUGCAUUAUUUGAUCUGUUAUUGGCAAUAUUACUGUGCCCUGGUCAUUUUGGUAAGAUAAUCAAUCAUUAGUUUAUGGAAAUAAUACAAGUGAAACAUAUAUCAUUGAUUUUUUUUACUGUAGCAAAACUUUUCCUGUGCAUAGCUACAGUUAUUCUGUUUAAAAAUAUUUAAUAGUCAUUUUCCCUCCUUCUACAUGUGUCUUGAUUUCACUAUAUAUGUCUAAACUUGACUUACAUUUAUUUUAGCAUACUGCUAUUAUACACAAACUAUAAUGAGUCUUAAAAUUAUCAGGUGAGUUAAGUGUCCUGUGUUUAAAUAUUUUCUAGGAAAUUAACCCAGGGAAUUGAGGUGGAUAAUGAAUUUAAUGAUGUUAUCUAGGAAAAUAGAAAUGAUAUCUUAGAAGAAGAAACUACUCUAUAUCAUGCAUAUACAUAUGUAGCACAAAAGCAGUAAUUCAUUUAAAAAGGAUAAAUAUUGUGACAUGUAAAACUACAUAUGGUACUUUAUAAAGUUAUUAAUUUUAUUUUAGAAAAUAUGAAAAUGCAUAGUUCUAAAUGGUGUGUGCAUCUAAUUUAAAAAUGGUCAAAGUUAUCAAGAUUAUAUAUAGAUAUGUAGCUUUACAAGUAGCAUAAUUCAUUGAAACAUCUUGAAAUUCCAUGUACUGUCAAUACAUUAAAUAAAAAUUGUAAAAGAUGUUACAAUAGUUAAACAAAUAAGAAUAAGCUCAAGAGUCACUCACCUCCAAUUUGCAUCUACAGCUUUAUUUCUUCUCCUUUGGUUAACUGAACUUUCUCAAAGAUUAGUUCCUCAUUUACUGUCUUGACUUCUGCUGUUUUCCUUCUAUUAGAAAAAACCUAUGCUUAUGUUUUUCUCAUUACGACAUGAAUUAGUCUACAUGGACAAUUUUGAGAACAAUGUUGAAAAGUGUAAAGAAAAAGAACCAUUAAAAGGCCACCCAUCCCACUCUAUCCAGUGUUAAUGACAAUAGGAUAUGUAACAGAUAUUAUCAAAUAUAUUAAUAGAAAUCCAACUUCCUGCUGGAUAUUUCUCAUUUGAUUUUUGGCCAUUUCUCAAAGUAAAAUAUCUGAUUCUGAACUCAUUAUUAGUUCUGUCCAAAUUACAAUUCAUGAAAGAUGAACUUUUUAUUCAUUUUGCAACCCAUCAUCCUCAAGGCAGAAACCUGUAUUUCACUACUUUCUUUACGUUUCCUGCUAUAUAAUCAAUACCUCUUUUCACUUUCUGCUGCUACUGCAUUCGUUCUAGGCUUAUCACUUCUUGCAUAAACUUUUUAAUUAGUUCCAAACAAUCAUUAUUACUCUUCUGGACAGUAUUUCCAGAUUUUCCCAGUGAAAAUUAGUUCUGCCCUAGUAUAUGUUACAUGUUUUAUAAAACUUACUACAUUGUGGUAAAUAUGUAUGCUAUAAUUUUAUUGCACACUAGAAUGUGAGGUCUACAUUAAAAAAAGGGAAAAUGCCUUUUACAUUAUCCAAAAUCAUAGCUCAGUGCCUGGGACAUACAUAUUAAGUGAGUAAUAGAUUUAUGUUGAAUGAAUUAAAACAUCGAUGGGAAGGUGAAUAGUUUGGAAUUCAUGUGAGGUCAUGUAAAGAAAAUAAUGCAUUGGAAUAAAAAAGAAGAGGUUUAACAGAGCAGAUGUUAGAUGUAUGAACUAAGAUGACAAUAGUAAAUUCAGGUUGGUGGGCAGAAAUACUAAAAUUGACACAGAGGUAAAUAAUCUGAAAAGCAACAUACCCUACUAAAAAGGAAAAUUGUAAAUUCACAUAUUCGUUAAUUCAAUCCAUUUUUAUUGUGUAUUUAUCGAGUGCCAAGCAAUAUUCUAAGUGUUGAGAAUGACUUAAAAUAAAAGUCUGCCAUGCAUGGAAGUUAUUAACACAUUCCAAUUAGCAUAAAACUGAAAAUUAACCAACAAAUGAAUACGUAUGAUGCCCCAUGACAUAAUGCUAUGGAGGAAAAUAAAGUGCUAUGGAGAAAAAUAAAAAUAAACAAUUUGCACUAAAUACAGAAUGAUCAGGAAGAGUCUUUCUGAUAGGUGACAUUUGAGCAGAAUACUGAAGGAUGUGAGAGAAUGAGCUUUGACAAAACAUUGAAAAAAAUUUUCUGUGGGGAACAGCAAAUUGCAAUGCCGUGAAUGGAGAGUCAUUUGGGAUGUUCAUGGAAAAGAGCAGGGGUCUGUUGUGGCUGGAGCUGGAGAUAGAGAAUGAGUGUAGGAGACUGGUGGAGAACCACAAUCUUAUACAGCCCUAAAGGUAAUUGUAAGGUUUUUGGAGUCUGAAUGAAAAACGGUUCUCUCAUUUAAAGGCAGUGAAGUGGCAGGUUCUGACUUUCCCUUUAAGAGGCUGACCCUAGGAGCUCUGUGGAGAAUAAAUUUUAGGAUACUGAGUUUGGAAACAGGGAGAGUAAUUGGAAGGUAUCCUAACAAAUCAGAAAGGAGAUGGUGUUUCAAACAAGUGGUAGCAAGGAGGUGCAAAGAAACUAUUAGAUUUGGGAUAUACUGUAAAAGUAGAGCUGCUAGAGUUUGCUGGUCAAUUGUAUGUGGAAUGGAAGAAAAAGGAGGGAAAAAAGAUAGCUCUAGUAUUUUUAACCUGCGCAUCUGGAAAAAUACUGUUUCCAUUUAUUCCCAGUUUAGAAGGAGCAGAUUCGGGUAAGGAUGAUCAAGUUGUUGGUUUUGGAUUCCUAUGAGAUACCAAAAUAGAGAUGUUGAAAGUACUGUUAGUGGCUGGGCACGGUGGCUCAUGCCUGCAAUCCCAGCACUUAGGGAGGCUAAGGCAAGAGGAUCACUGGAGCUCACAAAUUUAAGGCCAGCCUGGGCAACACAGAGAAACCCCAUCUCUACAAAAAGUACAAAAAUUAGCAGGGCAUGGUGGUAUGUGCCUGUAGUCCCAGCUACUCAGGAAGCUAAGGUGGAAGGAUUGCUUGGACCUGAGAAGUGGAGGUUGCAGUGAGCUGAAAUCACGUGACUGCACUCCAACCUGGACAAUAGAGUCAGAUUUUGUCUCAAAAGAAAAGAGAAAAAAAAUGCAGUUAGAAAUACAAGCCUGGUUAUAGGAGAGACAUUGGGGCUAAAGACCUUUGACAGAUUUCAGCAUAUACCUGAAUAAAUAAAAGCAGAAGAAAGUAAAGGAAAAGCUAAAAAUAAACUAGAGUAGACAGGAAUGUACAAGGUCUAGGACAGGUGUUGGCAAACCAUAGGUUGAAGGCAAAAUCCACUACUUGUUUUUGUAAAUAAAGUUCUACUGGAACGCAAACAAGUUAAUUUGUUUCCAUAUUGUCUAUGGCUGAUUUCACCCUAGAAUUGCAAAGUUAAAUAGUUGCAACAGAGAUUUUAUGGCCCACCAAGCAUAAACCAUUUAUUAUCUGGUCAUUUACGGAAAAAAUUUACUGACCCCUGACUCAGGGGAAGGUAGUUAACAUAAUAAAAGUUGGAUUAAUUUUUACCAUGGUUUUCCCAGUACAGCCCUGGUUUAUACCUACUAUCCCAGCUUUUGGAACAAAUACAUG